CCAGCUCUGACAGGCGCUUGCACGGUUGGAUUAGUGGCGAACGGGUGAGUAUCACGUGAGUAACCUUCCCUUGACUCUGGGAUAAGCCCGGGAAACUGGGUCUAAUACCGGAUACGACCAGUCCUCGCAUGGGGUGCUGGUGGAAAGAUUUAUCGGUCUUGGAUGGACUCGCGGCCUAUCAGCUUGUUGGUGAGGUAAAGGCUCACCAAGGCGAUGACGGGUAGCCGGCCUGAGAGGGUGACCGGCCACACUGGGACUGAGACACGGCCCAGACUCCUACGGGAGGCAGCAGUGGGGAAUAUUGCACAAUGGGCGAAAGCCUGAUGCAGCGACGCCGCGUGCGGGAUGACGGCCUUCGGGUUGUAAACCGCUUUCAGCAGGGAAGAAGCGAAAGUGACGGUACCUGCAGAAGAAGCGCCGGCUAACUACGUGCCAGCAGCCGCGGUAAUACGUAGGGCGCGAGCGUUAUCCGGAAUUAUUGGGCGUAAAGAGCUCGUAGGCGGUUUGUCACGUCUGCUGUGAAAGCCCGGGGCUCAACCCCGGGUGUGCAGUGGGUACGGGCAGACUAGAGUGCAGUAGGGGAGACUGGAAUUCCUGGUGUAGCGGUGAAAUGCGCAGAU
rnacentral:rRNA from 1 species